UACAAAGGGCAGAAGGACCUGCCAGCCAUUGGAAGACCCCCUACCAAGCUUGACUGCCUGUGGCAGGGACGGGUGGGCAGAUGCCCAGAUGUUCCUGGGCCAGUGGCUGCGCCCUGUUGCCCUCCUUUAUCCCAGGCUCGGAUGGUUCCCUUUGCUGCCCACACAGGCCCACUCUGGCCCGGCCCUGAGUGUGUGAUGUCUGUCAUUCAGUGAAAGGCAGAGGUGGUGGUGUCACACCGGAGGCCUUUCCGCCUUUCAGUCUCGGCUCCCUGGGAGUGCCAGUCAUGGCGAAUCUGCCAAGACGGUGGCGUUACGAUCUCUUCAUAGCAGUUUUCCACUUUAUUCUUUUGUUCUUGACAAUGGAGAUGUACUUACAACCUCAAAGCCGAGGAUGGGCCUUUGCUGUCCCAGCCCCAGUUCACCAGAAGCAGAGCCUUCUCGACACAUCUCAGCUUCUGCAUGAGCAACGCUUUCGUGAACAAUGUGGCAGCCCAGGUGAAACAAAGCAGCAAGAGGACAAGUGUGGAGGGUUCCCACGCUCUUUAUAAUGUGACUAAAAGCUCAUUUCCUUGGGCACAAUGUAUAGGCUAUGCAUUGUGCUAAACCCUUGCCAUAUAUUAACUCAAUUAAUCCUCACAACAAUCUAAUUUAUGAAUCCAUUCAACAAAUAUCUAUUGAGUACCUGCUAGGUGCAAAGCUCUGUGCUAGGUGCUGAGGAUAACUCAGUGAACAAGACAAGUCGCUGUCCUCAUGAAGUUUACAAUCUAGGUAGGACCUAUUAUCCCACUCUAGAGAUGAGAAAACUAAGGCCUCUUGAAUUUAACUUACUUGCUCAGGUCACUAAGUGACAGGGCAGGGCCUUAAACCCAGGCAAUCUGUUUCAGAGUCCAGCAUGCUAUUUGCUACCAAAUGCUUCCUUCUUUUCUUCCCAACACCACACAUGUGGCAGACACUAUUGGUUACCUCUCUGAAUCCGUCUCCCUUCUUACUUGCUGGGACAAACCCAAUUUAUUUGGAUGUACCCUUUCAUACCUGUGUGCUUGGGGAAGGGCCCCUUCCCAGCCUCAGCCCCACGAGUGAAUGGUGAUUAGUUAGAACUAAUCUUCGUAAUUCCCUUCCUGUUGCCAGGGGUUAGUUUAGGCCCCAGGGAUCCCCCAUGUGGAUGACAAGGGGGGAAGUUUGCUGGGAGGGUUUCUGGGCAAAGUUUUUUUGUGCUGUUCCAAGUUGUGGCUCUGGGAACUGUGGUCACCAGCUGGGUUCCAUAAGGUGGCCAGCCUGAGGACUAAAGCCAACAUGCUGAAGAUGGCAGACUAGAAACUUGGGCCCUCCGCAUUUGCUGAGCUGCAGGCUUGUUAUAACAGAUAUUCUUACCCCUUAUGAAAUUUCGGAUUGCUUUUCUGACUUUUGUAGCUGAAAACUUCCUAACACCCACCAGCUCCAAUCCCUGCCAUGCGAUGACACCCCAACCUUGUCUGGCCCUCACUUCCUGAGCGUCUUUAAACACAUCCGCUCCACUCCUUUGACCUUCGGUCGCUUACCUUGAGAUGUCCUUUGACUUUUUUUCUCGCUACAUCUGUUGGUUUUAACCUGUAAUAUGCUGUUUCUCUAACUAAAUCAUAAACUCCCUGAAGGGAGUGAGCGUCCUUACGUUUCUGUGUGUCCUUCGUGGUGCCUGUCAUUAAUGUGGAACCCCAGUAGGGCUUAAU